rnacentral:lncRNA from 1 species
AUCAAGGUUAAAUUUUAUUACCAUCUUAUGUAAAGAUCCAUAUUCAAAUUCUCUCAUGUAUCACCAGGAAUGAUUUCCUAAAAAAAGAUAUUCUAACAUCAUCAAAUUGAGAACAUCUUUAAGGUUAAAUAAUACCAAACCAGUCAGUUGUCAGGUUUCCUACAUUAAUCUUCUUCCUCAGAUUGUUCUUCUGAGUGAAUUUUCAUAUGUUUGGUAAGAGAGGCAUUUUGCUUGAAGGCUUUACCACAUUCAAUACAUUCAUAGGGUUUCUCUCCAGUGUGGGAUCUCUGAUGAAUAACAAGUUGUGAUUUUGCAUUGAAGGCUUUUCCACACUCAUAACAUUCAAAGGGUUUCUCCCCUGUAUGAGUUCUCUGGUGUACGAUGAGGUGUGACUUCUGACUAAAGGCUUUCCCACAUUCAACACACUCAUAGGGUUUCUCCCCUGUGUGAACUCUCUGGUGUUGGGUAAGGCCUUCAAUCUGUUUAAAGGCCUUACCACAUUGAUUACAUUCAAAGGGGCAGUCACCUGUAUGAGUUCUCAUAUGGUAGGUAAGAGAUGAGCUAUGUCCAAAGGCUUUCCCACACUCAUCACAUUUAUAAGGUUUCUCCUUUGUAUGAGUUCUUUGAUGUAUAACUAGGUGUGACUUUUUGCUAAAAGUUUUCCCACAUUCAUUACAUUCAAAUGGUUUCUCCCCUGUAUGAAUCCGCAUAUGUUUAGUCAGGGAUGAGCCAUACUUGAAAGCUUUGCCACAUUCAUUACAUUCAUAUGGUUUCUCCCCAGUGUGAGUUCUUUGAUGGUCAAGGAGUCCCUGUUUAUGGCUGAGGACCUUCCCACAGUGGUUACAUUCAUAAGGUUUCCCAGAACCUGGGGCUUUUUCAGGUUUAGAUGGAGUACGGCAGUGUGAUUUCCGUUUCUCCCCGGUCUGAAUUUUGUCUUCCUUGGUAUGGGAUGCACUAUGACGGCAUACUUUCUCACAUUUUUUGCUGGUUUGGUUUUUGUCACCUUUAUCAGACAACUUAUUGUUGGGUAACUUGUCGCAUUUCUUUCUAGUUGGAAUUUCAUCUUUGUUCACAUCAGAUGCAGAAUGGCUGAGUGAUUUCCUGUGGUCAUUAGCUGUGUCAGGUUUCUUUUUCAGAGAGUCUGAAUUCUGAUUCGAGUUCUUCCCACGGGAACUGGACUUAAGCAGUUUUUUCUCGGAAGGAGUGUGUUUUGAGUGGAGACUUUUGUUCUCCAACAAACCAUACUCACUGCUUUUCUUGCUGUUGGAACUUUUCUUCCUGAGUGUCACUUCCUUAGUAAGUUUGCUUUGGGACUUCUGCUUUUCCUCCCUAUGCUCAUCAUCUUGUUGGAGUUCUA